GAUAAAUUCCACGAUAUGUGGAGGAGGAUUCGAGAUAACUUGAUAAAGAUGAAAAGAUAUGCAUAGGACGAGAGAGGAUCAGAAAGAAGGAACAAGGGAAUUACGUCGAAUGAAUCCUUCCUCAGAAUUUUCGCUUACAUCUCGAUUUUGGGGACGUCGGCCUCGAAUGCUCUCGGUGACCUCCGCGUUUCUCACGCGUCAGUAAGUUCGAUUUUAUUAGUAGGAUGUUAUAAAAUUUUGAAUCGCGCAGCGGAACUCUUAUCUUCAAAGUAUUUGUUGAUUUGGGAUAGUUUGAUUUCAGAAUAUAUAUAAAAAGAAGUUCCGCUAUACCGAGUCUCGCGGUUUAUUUUUUGAAGGUAAGCCUUUGAGCGUAUCGCAAUCCGGCCCUUAUUGAUAAUUUAGUGAUAAACAAGGAAUUCUUUGUAAAUCGUUCGAGGCAUUAUUGUUUACCGAUGAGUAGCCGUUAGUUUGCUGCAAAAGAGAAGAAUCGUGGAAUCUGCCAGACGUAACAAUAAUUUAAAUAUAAAUUUAUCAUACGAUUUUGUAUCAGAUCAGACAGUCGGAAGCUGUCGAAUUAAUUACACAUCUCUAAUUCGUUCAUAGGCAGUUCUUAACCAUACACUUAAGUACGGAAAGCGCGAUACGGCAGUACGUGUCGAAUUUUUUGGAUAUUCGCCUCGCAACACGAUUCAAUUACAUAUGACACGCAUAAAUAGUCAGUGAAGAAGACGAAUAAUAUCCGAUUGCAAUUAUCAGUACACUCGGUUGCCCUGAGCGCCUGAAAACUUCGUCGGAAGAUCACAGACGCGAUCGAUAAUUUCCGGCGGAGGUGAGUUGCCCAUACUCCCAGACGAUGCGUUUGCUAAGUUUUUAAUUUAAAAAGAACUAUUCGAUGUUAGACCCAGCAGGGAACACCUUAUUUCGAGGAUUUCUUCGAUAGUGGGAUGCGGAGGCUCGAUCAGAAGAUUCUGUUUUACCGAAAAAAUCCUGGCAGCGGCGGAUUUUCCUCACCAUGUUUUUUUAGUGGUGUCUGCUGGACCGACUCGUGGGAGCGAAACUUGAUCUACAGGAAAUUUGUUGAGAUCUAUCGGAGAUCUAAUCUUUCAAAGCGGAGGCCGGCUUUUUAUUUUGCUACGAUCCGAUAUUCGAGCGGAUUCGAAACGAUUCAAAUCGGAUCAUGAGCGGUAAUUAAGUUGCUGCUGCACUAAUGAGAUCUUAUUAUCCUCAUUUCCGGACGCGCUCAGCGGUCUUCGGUCGAAUUCGACGGCGUAACGCGAGACGCGGUCCACGCAAUGGCACGCAGGCCGUUUCGCAAUUCUCGAUAGUUUUUUUACAGAUAUUGGCAUCUAUAACUGCAGUAGAGGAGGGCAAAAAUACGUUACAAAGCAAUGAAUAAAUGAAUAAAUUAUUUUGAUAAAAGAAAGCAAAAGCAGCAAACUAAUAUACAGGGUAUUCCUGUAACUUGAUCAUUUAAAAUAUCAAUGUAUAAAAAUCGCUAUAACAUUCGUAAAUAGUUAUGACAUAUUCAAACUUCGUUUUCGUUAAAAAAGUAACGCCUUAUUCUUGUCGUUAGAUGAAAUCAUUGAAUCAUUCGGAGACUGAUGUAAAUCAGAAACAAUUGUUGGUGGACAUAAGUACAUUUGUUCGAAUUAAAAGCAAAGUCGUAAUCAGAGUUCCGAGAAGAAAACAAUCUCCUUAGAAUCAUGUGCGACCAGUAAUUUGACAUCAUUUAUAAGCUAGAAAUGUAUACAAACAUUAAUUUAAAAACCGGAUUGCGAAAAAUAAAAUUCGAUAUGAAAAUGAGUUAUUAGAAUAGAUAAUAUGAAAUGUCAAUAGAAUAAAUAGUAAUAAACUACAACGAGAAACAUAGCUAUUUUUCUCUAUUAUUUUUGAAAUAAAUUCAAACAGUCAUAUCACCAACUAGGCGCCAUUAAUAAAUAGUAAUAAUAUUAACAAAUAUAAACAUACAAAUACAUACAGGCCAACCAAUAAAAUGCUUCGAGUAAUAGUCGUGUCUGAUCGAAUUAAAAAUUGGUCCGUACUUGAUCGGAAGCAAAGAAAGGUUCAUUAAUAAAAAAAAUCUACUCUCAAGAAUGGACAAAGCAAUUGUGGGCGUGAAAACAAAGACGAAAAGGUUAAAAACAAGUGGAAAUGAAAAACAAAAAAAAUCAAAAAAAUAAAGGAAAGAUUAAAAUUAGGGAAGCAGAUGAAGGAGGAAAAAGAAUCGGGAAGGGAGUUCAGAAUAGGAAGAUACAUCGUGGAGUAAGUUCGUAUCGCUCUGUUUGUUCAGGUCAUGUGGUUGUUUUUUAAUAUGCAUUCCCGGGAAAAAAAGUUUAUAUUUAAUUAUAUAUAAUUUUGUAGAUCUAAUUAUGUAUGAAUUUUGACCUGAUCUAAUUAUAUAUAAAUAGAUAAAAUUGUUUAUGAUUAUAUAUGAACAGAUCAAAUUAUGCAUACUUAUGACGACAAAAUUUCGGUUGCGUUUCGAUAUUGACUACUAGUACUGAAAAUUUAUAAUAUAUGUGACAUAAAACUCUAAUUUAUGUCUCCACAGAGGAAAGAAGGAAUCUCAACCAAGGGACAGUAUGACUGGAUGAUCCAAUCCAAAAAAGUAAGAGAAAAACUACUAAUUCACCUGAAACAGAACUGACUCCCCCGGGAACUAAACCCUCUUUACCAGCUUCAGCGUAAUUAAAUAUUAAAAAAAUAUAAUAAAGAAGUAGUACCACCGCGAAUUUACAUUAGUGAGCCAAACGACAUAAACAAAGCCACUGAUAACUUACGAAAACUUGGUUUUAAGGGGAAAAUUUCUACCCUAUCACGUGAUAUCAAAAUAAAUUAUCUAAAUGGGAAAGAAUAUCGUAAAAUCAUCAAAAUGUUAAAUGAUGAAAAAGAAUCUGGGUUCCAGACGGAAUAGCUAUGCAAGAAUUUACGUCCCUUCAAGAUAAUGGCAAGAGGAUCCUACUAUCGAUCCUAGAGAAUGAAAAUCUAAAAGCUACGAAUUUUAAAAUUCUCAGCAAUUAAUAUUCUCAAGACUCAGUUUAGGAAAGAUUCAAUGAAUGAAACAAAAUCUAUCAAGACUCAUGUCAAACUUAGGCUAUUUAGGCUUACCUUCGAUAAUUCUGAAUCAAUAGAUAAAAUCUACGGCAUCAAAACCAUUAGUUAUCAAGUUGUUAAAAUAGAAGCAUUUUACAAGAAUCCAAGAAUCAGAAUCGUACAAUGUAAAAACUGCCAGGGAUAUAACCAUGUACGUAGCAACUGUCAGCUGUCGGAAAGCCCGUUGUGUCAAAUGUGCUGGUGAACAUCCUACAGUUGCAUAUUCCAAAUCUAAGGAAUCAAAAUUAAGAUGUGCAAACUGUGGUGAGGCUCAUAUGGCAAACUACAGAGAGUGCAUCAUUACUAAAGAGUUGCAAAAACGUAGGAAUGAAGUUAUUAAUAACAAAAAAGCUAAAAAUUAAAUACCAAACAAAUAAUUAAAGAAAAACAAGCUGAAAUGAAAAAAGAGAUCUCGGAAAUAAACCAAUUUGUUCUGGAGUCUAAUAAUGACAAAGCAAUUUAUGCAGAAAAAGCUAUGUAAAGUUAUUCAAACGAAGCAUUAGCUAAUAAUGAAACUUUCAAAAUUAUGACAGUCUUGGAAAAACUCAUAAAUCGUUUUGAUCAGCAAGAAAAGUUUUAUAAAACAAAGUUUGACUCAAUAGACAGGCAACUGGCCAAAAUCAUAAUGAAAUAAUGGCAGGUACAAUUCGAAUUGCUAUCUGAAAUGCAAACGGCUUAUGUCAACACAAAUCAGAAUUAGAGAUCUUCCUGAAAGAGCAAAAAAUUGAUAUGUCUAAUCUCUGAAACCCAUUUCACAAGAGAAUCUUACUUUAAUAUUUAAUUUCAAGGAUAUAAAACUUAUCACUCUAUUCAUCCGUCCAAUAAGGCCUGUGAAGGAGCUGCCAUAAUUCGUUCAAGUAUUAAACACUAUGAGGAACCUGAAACAUCAACAGAAAGCUUUCAAAUCUCUGCCGUAAGCAUCAAAUGCAAAAGAUAUGUAUUCUCCAUUACUGCAAUAUACAGUCCUCCCAGGCACACCAUUAACCAAGAAGAAUACCUAGCUUUUCUUCAAUCACGGGGAAAUUCCUAUAUAAUAGGGGGAGACUUUAAUGCUAAGCAUACUUAUUGGGGCAGUAGAUAUAUUAUCUAAAGAAAAAGCAUUAAUCUCUGCAGGUAAAUCACUAAAGUGUGAUUUUUUGUCAAGUACGGUCAAAAGUACGGCAGCCCGAGCUACUGACCUUCAGAUAUAAACAAGCAUCCUGAUUGACUUUUUCAUAGUUAAAGGACUCUCAACAAAUUAUAUUACAAAUCCAGUCUCGAUCUUAGCUCACAUUCCGGUCAUACUAAACCUUAGCGAUACCUUUAUAUACAAAAAAAA